CGGAGAGCUCAGUUCUCGCGUCCACACGGCGUGGCGCGGGCACCUUAACUUUGCCGCCGACAGAUGGCCGCGUGGCGAGGCAGAAUGCUUUGCUAGCUCGAUCGCGCGCGCGCGGAUGGAAAUGGCCGCGUGGUUGGUGAUCAGCUGAUGACUAACCGACCGGCCGGGCGGAUUUUUCAUCUUCUUUGUUGUCUACAUAAAAUUCGACAUUAGACUUUCUUUGCACUGGCAACGGCCUUUUUUUCGAAAGCCUUCGUUUCUUUGGUCUAGGUCAGAAAGAAAAUGAGGGAAGUGAAGGACUUUUGUGGUUGAGCCCACAAGCUGCGGCUGCCACAACUGGAGGAACUUUCUUUAGGUUAUGCGUAAGUGGUUCUUGGAUUUGAUUCGGAGAUGGAAGUCUGCUUUACCCUUUCACCGGCGGAGAUGGAAGUCUGCUUUACCCUUUCACCGGUUAGGUUCCUGGCUUGGCCAGCAGCUAGAAGCAGGUGCCUGAAAGUGCUUUUUGCAAUGGCUUUCUCCUAGCGCUCAUCUCAUUGUUUUCCACAUUUUCCAAAUAGAAACCAGAUAUUCAUUUAAUUUCUGGAAGGUUCAAUACUGAAAUCUCACCUUUUCUCUUUAAACUCCUCUUGCUUUGUAUUUUUUUUCCUUUGUAGAUAGGUUUAGUCCAUGUGAGAAGAACCACCGACCAUACGGACCAUCUGACUCGAUCAAUCUUGCAUUAUCGGUGUACUUGUUGUUCUCUCUGUUUCCAAGCAUAGAACUUAUCCCUUGUUUAGUCGAGAAGAUGCCUUAACGUACAGAAGCAAAGAUAAGUUUCCUUGCCACCAACCGGCCCCUUGGGCGCUGGCCAAGCCCUUUCGGAAUGUUUGGAUACCAAAGCAUGUGCGCUUCUUUACUUUGCAGUGUGCACAACGAUAAGCCCCAUUAGUUAGGGUCCGGUCCCUAGUACGUGCGGGCGUCGUCGUGCCUAUAUAUCGGGCAUGUCGCAGCUCCUGUUCUACCAUCACAGAUAGCAAUCUUGUACAAGGUUGGUGAACACAUACAGCUGGGCAUUAUUGGGUUGUAAGCUUUACCAACAGGGCUCCCAUCUCCAUUAUCUCAAUUGCAACUAGUUAAUUAAGAUCGUCGAUAGUCUGAUGGACAGCGGCAACACGAACCGCUCGCAGUCGCAGUCGCAGUCGCAGCCUCCUCCGGGCUACCCGAGGUUGGACGACGCGGAGCAGCAGGGAGGCGGCGGUGGCGGCGGCGGGAAGAAGAAGAAGGGGUGCUGCAGACCAAGGCGCCGCGCGGCGACGGCCAAGCGCGGCGAGGCGAGCUUCAUCGAGGGAUGCAUCGCCGCGCUUUGCUGCUGCUGGCUCUGCGAGCUCUGCUGCGAUUAAUAACUUGCUGAUCCAAGGCAGGAUUAUUUAACACUUAUUAGUCUGGUCCAUCAGGAGGAGAUUGAUCUUAAAUGACGAUCAUGAUUGAUGUAGUACGUUGUGUAUCCUUAAUCUACAUGCAUGUGUUGUAUGUUCCUGGUGUAUCAUCCGAUCCGUGAAAUUAAGUAAACGCAAACUCCAUUAAUGCACGAUA